rnacentral:rRNA from 1 species
GGAUGAGCCCGCGGCCUAUCAGCUUGUUGGUGGGGUAAUGGCCUACCAAGGCGACGACGGGUAGCCGGCCUGAGAGGGCGACCGGCCACACUGGGACUGAGACACGGCCCAGACUCCUACGGGGGGCAGCAGUGGGGAAUAUUGCACAAUGGGCGAAAGCCUGAUGCAGCGACGCCGCGUGAGGGAUGACGGCCUUCGGGUCGUAAACCUCUUUCAGCAGGGAAGAAGCGCAAGUGACGGUACCUGCAGAAGAAGCGCCGGCUAACUACGUGCCAGCAGCCGCGGUAAUACGUAGGGCGCAAGCGUUGUCCGGAAUUAUUGGGCGUAAAGAGCUCGUAGGCGGCUUGUCACGUCGGAUGUGAAAGCCCGGGGCUUAACCCCGGGUCUGCAUUCGAUACGGGCAGGCUAGAGUUCGGUAGGGGAGAUCGGAAUUCCUGGUGUAGCGGUGAAAUGCGCAGAUAUCAGGAGGAACGCCGGUGGCGAAGGCGGAUCUCUGGGCCGAUACUGACGCUGAGGAGCGAAAGCGUGGGGAGCGAACAGGAUUAGAUACCCUGGUAGUCCACGCCGUAAACGUUGGGAACUAGGUGUGGGCGACAUUCCACGUCGUCCGUGCCGCAGCUAACGCAUUAAGUUCCCCGC